rnacentral:rRNA from 1 species
UACCUGCGGAGGGAUCAUUACACAAAUAUGAAGGCGGGCUGGAACCUCUCGGGGUUACAGCCUUGCUGAAUUAUUCACCCUUGUCUUUUGCGUACUUCUUGUUUCCUUGGUGGGUUCGCCCACCACUAGGACAAACAUAAACCUUUUGUAAUUGCAAUCAGCGUCAGUAACAAAUUAAUAAUUACAACUUUCAACAACGGAUCUCUUGGUUCUGGCAUCGAUGAAGAACGCAGCGAAAUGCGAUAAGUAGUGUGAAUUGCAGAAUUCAGUGAAUCAUCGAAUCUUUGAACGCACAUUGCGCCCUUUGGUAUUCCAAAGGGCAUGCCUGUUCGAGCGUCAUUUGUACCCUCAAGCUUUGCUUGGUGUUGGGCGUCUUGUCUCUAGCUUUGCUGGAGACUCGCCUUAAAGUAAUUGGCAGCCGGCCUACUGGUUUCGGAGCGCAGCACAAGUCGCACUCUCUAUCAGCAAAGGUCUAGCAUCCAUUAAGCCUUUUUUCAACUUUUGACCUCGGAUCAGGUAGAUCCGUUUCC